AAAACUAGGCCUUUUAAAAGGCCUUUGGACAAUUCUAAUUUCCAGUGCAACGAUGUCGUGUAAAUUUCCAUUUCCCGCUGGGGAGUGUCCCUGCCUCUGUCCAACUGCUCAUCCAGCAAUUGUAACAGAGAUGGUUGCCUUCCACAGAACAGCAGCUAUUGCUCAAUCCCACAGACAGAAUAUGCUACUAACUUGAUCCCAGGCUUCUCCUUUCCUGCCCACCAUGCCCAGGCCACUUUAGAGAAGCAGUCUCUUUAUGCACCUGUCCCAGACACAAGCAUCACAACCACUCACUGUUCUAGAUUUGGGUUAAAUUCUUCACUAAUAGGAAAUUUACUACAAUUCAUGGAAAUGACCCUGAGGAUCACCAUUGCGGCUGACUGGAGCUGUAAAUGACUACCGCAUGUGGGCCCGGGGCACAACUGCCCUCUCCUGGUGUCUCCAUCCACUUAAAUUCUUAUCAGGGUCUGGACCCCCUCUGACACCUGUGCCCGCAAAUGAAAGAACCGAGGGAACAUAGCUCUGAGACUGCCUCCAGUUGCCUCUUUGCCUUUGUUAAGGCAGCCUAGCCCUUCUACGGCCCUCUGACCAUGAGAAGUUAAUCAGGCCCCUGUGGACACCUUUCCUUUUUUAAUGAGCAACUAAUACCAAAGAGAGUUUACGAAUAAUUGACUUC